UCCCUGGUGGUCCAGUGGGUAAGACUCUGUGCUACCAAUGCAGGGGGCCCAGGUUCGAUUGCUGGUUGGGGAA